rnacentral:rRNA from 1 species
GGGUCAGUAGGUUGGUCGUGCCACCGGUACGUACUGGUCUCACUGAUUCCUCCUUCCUGAAGAACCGUAAUGCCAUUAAUUUGGUGUUGCGGGGAAACAGGACUGUUACUUUGAAAAAAUUAGAGUGUUUAAAGCAAGCUAACGCUUGAAUACAUUAGCAUGGAAUAAUGAAAUAGGACGAUCGAUCCUAUUUUGUCGGUUCCUAGGAUUGACGUA